rnacentral:misc_RNA from 1 species
AAGUCGUAACAAGGUCUCCGUUGGUGAACCAGCGGAGGGAUCAUUACACAAUAACCAGGCGGGCUGGACACCCCCCGCUGGGCACUGCUUCACGGCGUGCGCGGCGGGGCCGGCCCUGCUGAAUUAUUCACCCGUGUCUUUUGCGUACUUCUUGUUUCCUGGGUGGGCUCGCCCGCCCUCAGGACCAACCACAAACCUUUUGCAAUAGCAAUCAGCGUCAGUAACAACGUAAUUAAUUACAACUUUCAACAACGGAUCUCUUGGUUCUG